GAGCUGGUACGACUCCUGCUCAGCAGGUAUCUCACCAAGGAGCCACUCACAAAGGCAGAAGUGCUGAAUAGUGUCCUCCAAGAUUACCAGGACUACUUCCUGGUGGUCCUCGAUCAAGCCUCAGAGUACCUGCAGCUGGUCUUUGGUUUGGAGGUGAAGGAGGUGGACCCUAGUGAGCACACCUAUCUCCUGGUCCCCACCCUGGGCCUCACCCUCAAAGAGAUGCUGAGGGAUGGGCAGAGGUUGCCCAAGGCCGGCCACAGGUGGUGAUCCUGUGCCUGAUCACUGUGGAGGACAACCACUCCCCUGCAGAGGAAAUCUGGGGAGCACUCAGCAGGAUGGGAGUGUGUCCCAGGAGGGAGCACUACAUCUAUGGGGAGCCCAAGGAGCUGCUGACCCAAGUGUGGGUGUGGGAGGUGUACCUGGAAUACCAGCAGGUAUCUGACAGCGACCCUGCUCGCUACGAGUUCCUGUGGGGUCCCCGGGCCUAUGCAGAGACCGGCAAGUUUAAAGUCCUGACGUAUCUG
rnacentral:lncRNA from 1 species